rnacentral:misc_RNA from 1 species
AAUCUCAACCAUUAGGGUUUCUUAAUGGCUUGGAUUUGGGUGUUGCCAGUCUCUGGCUCGCCUUAAAGGAGUUAGCGAGUUUAACAAUGUCCUCUGACGUAAUAAGUUUCGUUGGAAAGGCUUGUGAAGUUUGCUUCUAAUCGUCUUCGGACAAUUACUUUGA